AGAGAUUGUUUUAGGAAAGAGAAUACCCAUUCAAGGGGGAAUGUGGGCUAUUUCAAGAGAAAGAUGCCUUUUUCGGGUAAGGAAAGGAAUUACACAUUCAAGAGAGAUUUGUAGGCUGGGUCAAGAGUGAAAAACAGCCUGUUUUUUUGUUUCUAAGUUGUCUUUUAAGAACUCUACCACUGUACUGAAGAUUUCAUGUCAUCUGAUGAACUUAUUGGAGAGAUCACCUGGCUGAAAAUAACCCCCAAAGUUCCAAGAUAUCAUAAGAAGAGGCACCCUAAUCUCAACCUGAAAACAUCUGUGAUAGUCAUCAGAAAUUAUGGCCCAAGGUCACUUAACAUGAUAAUUCCUCCUAAGUCAGAGACACAGCUUACCAUCCAUGUUGAUGCCAGUGAGUUUUGAAAUGUUCAUAGGGAAACAUCAGGGAACAGUGAACUGGAUUCCAUUCUGCCUCAAGCCUCAUCAACCAGAUGGUUGGCUGUAUCAAAGCCAGUAAUGCUGAUGUCAGAGGCGAGAGAACACAGCUGGAUUUUCAGGUUCAAGGGGAAAGAGGGAAUCUAUAAUGCUUAAAGUUUGGGAGGAAAUUGCCUUUGGACUAGUAGAUAGAGCCAACUAGAACUGAUGGAGAGUUUUAAAUGUUAAGUCCUACAGCAACAUUUCUGUGUAAUUGCUUUUUGGGCCAUGGUAGGAUUUGAAUCUUCUUUUUCUCACACCUGCUAACAGGCCUACUGGUGCCAGUUAGAGAGCUAUUGUGUACCAGAUCUAGAGGAGAUUUCAGCACUGACAUAUUAAACUCCCACCAACUCUUGGCUA